rnacentral:rRNA from 1 species
GAUGAACGCUAGCGACAGGCUUAACACAUGCAAGUCGAGGGGCAGCAUGAACUUAGCUUGCUAAGUUUGAUGGCGACCGGCGCACGGGUGAGUAACGCGUAUGCAACUUACCUAUCAGAGGAGAAUAGCUCAUCGAAAGAUGAAUUAAUGCUCCAUAAAACAGGGGUCCCGCAUGGGAAUAUUUGUUAAAGAUUCAUCGCUGAUAGAUAGGCAUGCGUUCCAUUAGGCAGUUGGCGGGGUAACGGCCCACCAAACCGACGAUGGAUAGGGGUUCUGAGAGGAAGGUCCCCCACAUUGGUACUGAGACACGGUACCAA